rnacentral:tRNA from 1 species
GAGCCUUUAGCUCAGCGGUAGAGCAUCUCCCUUUUAAGGAGAGGGUCGAUGGUUCAAAUCCAUCAAGGCUCA